rnacentral:rRNA from 1 species
AGCGAACGCUGGCGGCAGGCUUAACACAUGCAAGUCGAGCGGGCCCUUCGGGGUCAGCGGCGGACGGGUGAGUAACGCGUGGGAACGUGCCUUCUGGUCUGGAAUAACCCUGGGAAACUAGGGCUAAUACCGGAUACGCCCUUUUGGGGAAAGGUUUACUGCCGGAAGAUCGGCCCGCGUCUGAUUAGCUAGUUGGUGGGGUAACGGCCUACCAAGGCGACGAUCAGUAGCUGGUCUGAGAGGAUGAUCAGCCACCAUGGGACUGAGACACGGCCCAGACUCCUACGGGAGGCAGCAGUGGGGAAUAUUGGACAUGGGCGCAAGCCUGAUCCAGCCAUGCCGCGUGAGUGAUGAAGGCCUUAGGGUUGUAAAGCUCUUUUAUCCGGGACGAUAAUGACGGUACCGGAGGAAUAAGCCCCGGCUAACUUCGUGCCAGCCGCCGCGGUAAGAC